rnacentral:rRNA from 1 species
GAACGCGAAGAACCUUACCCGGGCUUGAACUAGCUUCGACAGGAGUAGAGAUACUCUUUUCUUCGGACGGAGUUAGAGGUGCUGCAUGGUUGUCGUCAGCUCGUGCCGUGAGGUGUCGGCUUAAGUGCCAUAACGAGCGCAACCCUUUUCCUUGGUUGCCAUCAGGUAAUGCUGGGCACUCCAUGGAUACUGCCAUCGUAAGAUGUGAGGAAGGUGGGGAUGACGUCAAAUCAGCACGGCCCUUACGUCCGGGGCUACACACGUGUUACAAUGGGAGGUACAGAAGGUCGCUACCUAGUGAUAGGAUGCCAAUCUUAAAAACCUCUCUCAGUUCGGAUUGGAGUCUGCAACCCGACUCCAUGAAGCUGGAUUCGCUAGUAAUCGCGCAUCAGCCAUGGCGCGGUGAAUACGUUCCCGGGUCUUGUACACACC